AUAGCUUAGGUUAAAAAAACCUUUGAUUUGUGGUAUCAAGAAUAUUAUGUAGAUAGCUUUCA
rnacentral:tRNA from 1 species